ACCGUCUAAGUAUAGUAAUACAGAUGACUUCCACUUAUCAGCCCCUGGACUCCCCCAGGAGACGGUA
rnacentral:tRNA from 1 species